GGCCCGGUGGCGUAACGGUAACGCGCGCAUUUGCAAUGCAACUCUCUUCUGAUUACAAUUGCGAGUCCCUCGUUCGAUUCGAGGUCGGGCCU